rnacentral:rRNA from 1 species
AGUGAACGCUGGCGGUAGGCCUAACACAUGCAAGUCGAACGGCAGCACAGUAAGAGCUUGCUCUUACGGGUGGCGAGUGGCGGACGGGUGAGGAAUACAUCGGAAUCUACUUUUUCGUGGGGGAUAACGUAGGGAAACUUACGCUAAUACCGCAUACGGCCUACGGGUGAAAGCAGGGGAUCUUCGGACCUUGCGCGAUUGAAUGAGCCGAUGUCGGAUUAGCUAGUUGGCGGGGUAAAGGCCCACCAAGGCGACGAUCCGUAGCUGGUCUGAGAGGAUGAUCAGCCACACUGGAACUGAGACACGGUCCAGACUCCUACGGGAGGCAGCAGUGGGGAAUAUUGGACAAUGGGCGCAAGCAUGAUCCAGCCAUACCGCGUGGGUGAAGAAGGCCUUCGGGUUGUAAAGCCCUUUUGUUGGGAAAGAAAAGCAGCAGGUUAAUACCCCGCUGUUCUGACGGUACCCAAAGAAUAAGCACCGGCUAACUUCGUG